UUUGACAAGGCCAACAAACACCACUUCUUACACAGCCUGGCCCUGUUAGGGGUGCCCCAUUGCAGAAAGCCACUCUGGGCGGCCUGAGCACGCUCACUGACACCGUUUGGCGGCCUGUCACCCGCGUGGCUGGGGCACCUGCAGAAACUGCUGUCGCUGCGAGGUGCCCGUGUGGGUCACCGCUGUGCCAGGGAGAGAAGACGGCGAGGUCGCCCCUGGGAGGCAGAAGGCGAGCCAGGAGCCAGUCCUGGAAGCCAAUGAAGGCGCCGCCCAAGAGACCCUGGGCCGGCGCCGGGCGCAGCUGCCUCUCCGUCUUUGUGUCUGUCUCUGUGUCUGUCUGGCUAUCUCCGAGUUUGCCUCCGCUUCCAGAACUAAGCCACCCAGACACCAUCAUCUCGAAAACCCCAGCCCUUCUCCCAUGGCAGGCUACUUGCCCCCCAAAGGCUACGCCCCUUCGCCCCCACCUCCCUACCCUGUCACCCCUGGGUACCCGGAGCCGGCGCUACAUCCUGGGCCCGGGCAGGCGCCAGUGCCCGCCCAGGUACCUGCCCCAGCUCCCGGCUUCGCCCUCUUCCCCUCGCCUGGCCCCGUGGCCUUGGGGUCUGCUGCCCCCUUCUUGCCACUGCCAGGGGUGCCUUCUGGCCUCGAAUUCCUGGUGCAGAUUGAUCAGAUUUUGAUUCACCAGAAGGCUGAGCGAGUGGAAAAUGGAAGUACAGGCUCCACCAGGCACCACCAUUGGCCACGUGCUACAGACCUGGCAUCCCUUCCUCCCCAAGUUCUCCAUCCAGGAUGCCGAUCGCCAGACAGUCUUGCGAGUGGUGGGGCCCUGCUGGACCUGUGGCUGUGGCACAGACACCAACUUUGAGGUGAAGACUCGGGAUGAAUCCCGCAGUGUGGGCCGCAUCAGCAAGCAGUGGGGGGGCCUGGUCCGAGAAGCCCUCACAGAUGCAG
rnacentral:lncRNA from 1 species